GCAAAACAGAACAAUUUCCAAUACUGAUGACUUCGGAUCACAACCUGACACAGAAGAAGAGGAUAUUUGGGGGGAAAAAAAUAAGAGAGACAAACAAAGAGUGUGGUUUUCUGACCAGGCUGAAAAUAAUGCAGGAGGUGCUGCUGGAAUAGUGAUGUUUACAUACGAAUGCAAAUUGCUUCUGGAAGAACCCAGGAGUGAUCUCUGGGCUGUGUCCAUGGCAAAUUCCUGAAGUGGGAGUCUGUUAUUGUGGCUGCUGAGUUGCAUUUACUCCAAGAGCUUGGGCACCAGACAAACCUUGUCCCAUCUCCAAGCACCCCACCCCCUGCCAAGUUCCAAGACUCUGGAACACACAGCAGCCAAAGAAGUGUAAGAAAAAUCAGGCCUUUUGCAUUUUACAAAAAAAGCAUUAACUCCCACUGAGCUCUAGAAGGCCACUGGCCACCUCCUGCUUCGUUUUGAACUCCAGUAGAUGUUGCUGGUGACACCUGAUCUUGAACUCAAUGGCUUGUAAUUCUCCUCUCCUGAUGCCCAGGAUCUAUUCAUCUGCCCCCACACACCCAAAAUUCAACACAAACAGGUCUGCAGCCCUGAGACUUCAAAUCAGAGCGGCCAUGAAAAGUAAACGUUUGGGAUCAAUCCAGGCUACGAGGCAGCCACAUCAGAGCAGCGGAAGACACUCGUGAAAGAGCAUUUCCAGGACUAAGAGCCCUUCACAGGGUAGUGUAGAGAAUUAAAUA